rnacentral:rRNA from 1 species
CAAGGAAUUUUCCCCAAUGGGCGCAAGCCUGAGGGAGCAACGCCGCGUGCAGGACGACGGCUUUCGGGUUGUAAACUGCUUUUGCGUGGGACGAUAACGACGGUACCACGCGAAUAAGCCCCGGCUAACUCUGUGCCAGCAGCCGCGGUAAUACGGAGGGUGCAAGCGUUAAUCGGAAUUACUGGGCGUAAAGCGCGCGUAGGCGGUUGUGUAAGUCGGAUGUGAAAGCCCCGAGCUUAACUUGGGAAUUGCAUUCGAUACUGCGCAACUAGAGUAUGGGAGAGGGAAGUGGAAUUUCCGGUGUAGCGGUGAAAUGCGUAGAUAUCGGAAGGAACACCAGUGGCGAAGGCGACUUCCUGGACCAAUACUGACGCUGAGGUGCGAAAGCGUGGGGAGCAAACAGG